rnacentral:rRNA from 1 species
UACAGAGGUCUCAAGCGUUGUUCGGAUUCAUUGGGCGUAAAGGGUGCGUAGGUGGCGCCGUAAGUCAGGUGUGAAAUUUCGGAGCUUAACUCCGAAACUGCAUUUGAUACUGCGGUGCUUGAGGACUGGAGAGGAGACUGGAAUUUACGGUGUAGCAGUGAAAUGCGUAGAGAUCGUAAGGAAGACCAGUGGCGAAGGCGGGUCUCUGGACAGUUCCUGACACUGAGGCACGAAAGCCAAGGGAGCAAACAGG